rnacentral:lncRNA from 1 species
CGAGUCCGAGGGUCUCUGCGUCCCGCCUGCGGAGACUGCGAACUAGCGCAACAGACUGCGAAUCCCGGGAGCGCCAGCGCGGCCCCGCCCCAGGCGCGUUCCCGCGAACCCGCGUUGCAAAUGGGCCACGCGAGCUCCCAGCCUGCCAGUAAGGCGCUCUAGAACGCUUUCCUUGCCUUACCUCGCCUAAUGCUCGCAGAAACCCAAGGAAGCAGGGGCUCUUAGCGCCAUCUUGUUGAUGUGGUAACAGCCGCAGAGAGGAGAUCGCCCUUUGAAACUUGCAGAGCAGUUGCCAGAGAUGGGUGACUGCGCCUAAACCUCAAGGAUGUUAGAGGUGAUGGUAGACGGAAUGGUGAGACAGAAUGAGAACUGCACACAAGCCCUGCGGAAUUCAGAGGCUGAGAACACCUAGGCACUGAAGGGCGGGUAUGUGCUGAAUCCAGGGACAUCAAGAACAGUAUCACUCUGGAUCUGGAAUCAACUACACUUCUUGAUUCAGAUACCCCCUGCUCCCAGGCUGACAUUGAUCCCUCUGACAGAAUUCUUCUACUCCUGGUGAGUUUUCUCACUGUCUUCCUUUCUAGUCCAUCUUUCCUCAGGGAUUCGGGCAAUCCAUCUCACAGGUAUGUGUCUGGCUUGGUCCUCUCUCCUUCCUGCACUGCAGGGGUUCCUACAAUGAGGGCAAAUCAAAGGGAGUGGCUGGGCUGUGUCUUAGUCCCUGAGAAUCAGGAAGCCAUUGAUUCCAGGACUCAGAGGACAACUAGAGGUAGUGUGGCCAAAAACAAUAUGCUUAAGUAACACACUUAAGUCCUAGCUCUACUCCAACCAAAAUGUCAUUAUACUUUCUUUCUCAAAGUAAAAUGUUUGCAGCAUCCUCAAAGUUCUCUACCACCUUCCAAACAUCUUUUCUUGAUGAUUAAAGAAAUGCACAGACUUGGCUGAGGUAGCAGGACUUCUCUCUGGGCUCUGUUUUAACCAAGGGCAAACCCUCUCCCCUCAUGCCUGAGGCUGUAUAAAUGAACCUGGACAUGGGAUGCAGCUUUCUCAGACAUCGUCUACUGCUCAUAACCCUUUCUGUCAAGUUCCCUAACUGGUAACCACUCCUGCCCUUAACUGAAGACUUCCUCUUCAGUCUUUCAUACAAAUGGGAAACCCCAUUCUUUAGGUUCAAAGA